GAGAUUCCAGUGUUGUGUAUAGGGGUUCUCACUUAUCAAGCUUUGUUACACUAUUCUACUCGCUCUAUGCAAUUCCACUAGCUCUACUCUAUUAUGUAGUACUCGUUCACAAUGAACCAUUUUGUUGUAUGUUACGCUAUUCCACUUACCUUAUUGACUUGCAUGUAGCGGUACUUAAUGAGUGAGUAUACUACCAAAGAAUAGGAGCGAGCAUGCUUGUUGAAUAGUGAAUUUUGAUAAAAGUGUUGUGCUCUGUCUCUUUUUUCAGUUCAGUAAAUCAUAGGCAUAUGCAGAUCCUAUUCACACGAGUACUCACGCUGUUACACGAGGAUGAAGGACUAGUUUGAGUGUUUUCUUUUCUAGGGUCUUUCAUCUCGUUCCGAGUGUAAGUGAUUACUACACGAGUCUAG
rnacentral:lncRNA from 1 species